UACGUAGGGUGCAAGCGUUGUCCGGAAUUAUUGGGCGUAAAGAGCUCGUAGGCGGUUUGUCGCGUCGGCUGUGAAAACCUGGGGCUCAACCCCGGGCCUGCAGCCGAUACGGGCAAGCUAGAGUUCGGUAGGGGAGACUGGAAUUCCUGGUGUAGCGGUGAAAUGCGCAGAUAUCAGGAGGAACACCGGUGGCGAAGGCGGUCUGCUGGGGGUGAGGCUGACGCUGAGGCGCGACAGCGUGGGGGAGCAAACAGG
rnacentral:rRNA from 1 species